rnacentral:rRNA from 1 species
UACGUAGGGGGCAAGCGUUAUCCGGAUUUACUGGGUGUAAAGGGAGCGCAGACGGCAGUGCAAGUCUGAUGUGAAAGCCCGGGGCUCAACCCCGGAACUGCAUUGGAAACUGUACAGCUUGAGUGUCGGAGAGGUAAGCGGAAUUCCUAGUGUAGCGGUGAAAUGCGUAGAUAUUAGGAGGAACACCAGUUGCGAAGGCGGCUCUCUGGACUGUAACUGACACUGAGGCACGAAAGCGUGGGGAGCAAACAGGAUUAGAUACCCU